GGGCCCGCACAAGCGGUGGAGUAUGUGGUUUAAUUCGAUGCAACGCGAAGAACCUUACCAGGGCUUAAAUGUAGUCUGACAGGGGUGGAAACACCCCCUCCUUCGGGCAGAUUACAAGGUGCUGCAUGGUUGUCGUCAGCUCGUGCCGUGAGGUGUCAGGUUAAGUCCUAUAACGAGCGCAACCCCUGCCGUUAGUUGCCAGCAUGUAAUGAUGGGAACUCUAACGGGACUGCCGGUGCAAACCGCGAGGAAGGUGGGGAUGACGUCAAAUCAUCACGGCCCUUACGUCCUGGGCUACACACGUGCUACAAUGGCCGGUACAGAGGGCAGCCACACCGCAAGGUGGAGCGAAUCCUUAAAACCGGUCUCAGUUCGGAUCGGGGUCUGCAACUCGGCCCCGUGAAGCUGGAAUCGCUAGUAAUCG
rnacentral:rRNA from 1 species